GAUGAACGCUGGCGGCGUGCCUAAUACAUGCCAGUCGAGCGAACGGACGAGGAGCUUGCUCCUCUGAUGUUAGCGGCGGACGGGUGAGUAACACGUGGAUAACCUACCUAUAAGACUGGGAUAACUUCGGGAAACCGGAGCUAAUACCGGAUAAUAUUUUGAACCGCAUGGUUCAAAAGUGAAAGACGGUCUUGCUGUCACUUAUAGAUGGAUCCGCGCUGCAUUAGCUAGUUGGUAAGGUAACGGCUUACCAAGGCAACGAUGCAUAGCCGACCUGAGAGGGUGAUCGGCCACACUGGAACUGAGACACGGUCCAGACUCCUACGGGAGGCAGCAGUAGGGAAUCUUCCGCAAUGGGCGAAAGCCUGACGGAGCAACGCCGCGUGAGUGAUGAAGGUCUUCGGAUCGUAAAACUCUGUUAUUAGGGAAGAACAUAUGUGUAAGUAACUGUGCACAUCUUGACGGUACCUAAUCAGAAAGCCACGGCUAACUACGUG
rnacentral:rRNA from 1 species